rnacentral:lncRNA from 1 species
GGACUUUGAUGCUCCUUCUCCUGAGCUUGAUGAACUCAAUUCUCCUCGUACUCUUAAUUCUGUUGUUGCUGUUAUUCGGCGAUUUGGUUCUGCCAUAUUUCCGUCAGGGGGAUUAUUGGAGAUGGGGUCAUGGAAGCCAUAGUAGCCUUGGAAUGGCACCAUUUUUUUCUCUUAAUUUGGAUGUGAAAAAUGAGAGAUGGAUAAAAAGGAAAGAAAUAUGAAGUUAGUUUAAUGAGUUUAAUGGAAGAUUUCUAUGUGUGAGAGAAUUAUCUCCAUUCAAGCAAAUCAUUAAAGAGAAGCGAAAUAAUUAGGGAGAGAAGAUGUGGGGAGAUUGAGAAU